CACAAUAUCACAGUCCAUGCGUAAUCCAACACGCAAUCUGACAGUCCAUGCACACUAUCACAGUCCAUGCGUAAUCCAACACACAAUCUACCUGCCCAUGUGCAAUCAAACACACAAUCUGACAGUUUCCGGCCCCUCUCUCAGGUGGGGCCGAUCCUUUUUUUUGGGCAUCACCAGUGGCGCAAAUCAUGUCCCUAUUUCAUCCUCUCAAUGAGGGGAGGAAGUAAAGGCUGGCAAUAAUAUAGAAAGGGCAGUAGAUACCUGGUACGGGAGCAGUAACAGUGAUAUAGAAAGAGUAUAAAUCUUUGCAUUUAUAUAGCGGUAACGUAUUCUGCAGCAAUUUACAAUUCUAGAAAUGGGAUAUUUGGCAAGUGAUUUACAUACAGAAUAUAACAGACAAGAGGUGAAGAAGGCGUGCUCAGACAAGCUUACAAUCUAUGAGGAAGGUGUGUGUGACGAAAGUGCCUUUGUCACUGGGAGUUGGAGAGGCCUGCUUGCCAGCCUCUUGCCCUGUGACUAUGGCCCCUAGGAUGUAUUGCCCUUUACAAGUCCUAUUUGGGCAUAUUGGAUUUUAAUAUACUGUUGCUUCCCCUUUAAAAUAUAUGGGAACAGCUUUGCACUUUUGAAGUGGCACAUCGAAUACAGCGAAGUACCAAAGUAGUCAAACGGGCCGCCAUUCAACAUACAAACACAUGGCGGCGGCCAUUUUAAUCCAGUCGAACGCGUUCAAUGGUGUUGUCGAGUUCAUGGAACUCAAAUCAGACGCGCGACGGCACGAACACCGCUGAACAUUACCUUUUCCAGACUUCAACUGGAGUCUAUUUGAACUGCAUUUAACAUUGGAAAUAGACCGGCUAUGCGGCCAAAUUUUCUGGAACUGUUUUGGGUAUGAAAUCAUGCGUGCGGUCAAAAGAGAAUUCCACAAAACCUUAACCCCAUGGCAAUUUUACUACGUUCGUGGGAUCUGAGCGCUGUUCAGAUAUGUUGAGCGCUUAGAUCUGAGCUAUCUGGGCAUAGGUUGAAUGUGGGGUUUCAGUUCUAUGGAAUAUGUUACCGUAUUUUUCGCUCCAUAAGACGCACCUAGUUUUUAGAGGAGGAAAACAAGAAAAAAAAUAUUCUGAAUCAAAUGUUGUAUUAAACUAUUUAAUAAACUACCAGUAUAUCAGAAUAAUAUUUCAAACAUGUAAAGUAAACAGCAGCAUUAAGUCAACAGUGGUAUUAAGAACCUUCAUCACUGUCAUUAACAAAUGAAGAGAAACUUUAAGGUUUGAGUACUCUUCUAGUCUUCUGUGAACCCCAAGAACUCAUCAUUGCUAGAGUCAGAAUUUAGGAAGCUCAGUUGCUCACAAUCACUGACAUCACUUUCUUCGCUAUCUUCAUAUAAGAUAUCAUCUUCAUUUCCAUCCAAAGCAUUGCUAAUGCCACAUUUUUUGAAUGACUGGACAACGAUUUCCUCCUUCACAGAGUGCCACGAUGUUUUCACCCAUUCACAAACUUGAGUGAUAGUGGGCCUCUUCAUUCGUCCAGCAGGUGUCAAAUCAUGAUUGCCAGCAGCCAUCCAUUUGUUCCACUCUUCUCGCAUAAAAACCUUAAAUGGUUUGUUGAUGGAAACGUCGAGAGGUUGCAACUGGCUGGUAAGACCUCCAGGAAUUACAGCUAGAUGAGUUUUCACUUCUUUAAAGCACUUUUUUGUAGUUUCACUAAUAUGUGCUCUAAAUUGGUCAAGUACUAAUAAGGCAGGUUUUUUCAGAAGCCCUCCAGGACGAUUGGACCACACUUUUUCUAUCCAUACUCUCAUUCCACUUUCGUCCAUCCAUCCUUUCUCAUGAACAUGAACAACAACUCCUCUUGGAAUCACUUCUUUUGGAAGAGUUUUCCUUUUGAAAAUUAACAUGGGUGGCAAUUUGGUGCCGUCUGCGCAGCAAGACAAAACAACCGUGUAAUGGGUUUUCUCAUGUCCGGAGGUUUUCACGGUGAUAGUUUUGGCACCUUUCAGAUCAACAGUCCUAUUAGAUGGCACAUCAAAAGUUAGCGGGACUUCAUCCAUAUUCCCAAUCUGGCCAAUUUCAUACCCAUUUUUCUUCCUAGCAUCAAUGACAAAUUUAUGAAAAGAAAGAAUCUUAGAUUCAUAUUCUUUUGGCAUUUUUUGCGCAAUUCUAGUUUUGGUGCGCAUAGCAAGGCCACAUCGCUUCAUAAAUCUGUAGCACCACGAUGGUGAUCCAAUAAAAUCGUGAAUGCCUUUCUCUACAGCAAUGCGUUUGGCUUCAUAUAUUAUCAUUUUUGUAGAGACUGAGAAACCAUUAUUCCGGUGAUUUGUGAUCCAUUCUUUCAUGGCCACGUCUAACUGUGGCCACUUUGCAGCAUGUACACGAAGGGUGUGCUUACUUUUAUCCACUUUUUGUAGCUGAUCCUCCUGUUUCCUCCACUCUCUUAUAAUUUUUUCAGUUGGAGGUGGCCCAAAAUGUCUCUCCGCUGCUCUGUUUCCAUGCUCCUUAGCAUACUUUACUACCUCUAGUUUAAAAGGAAUCUUAUAUGCUAGUCUUUUUUGCUUGAUCAUCCUUGUAUGUAGAAUGGGGGAAAGUUUCUGCAAGUAAAUACAGUGAUGAAGGAACGGUCAGUAAUGUACCGUAAGUGAUAUCAGUACCAAUAACCCAUCACAUGCUUUGCCUAAUGACUUCAGAAUUUACCCGGUAACAUGGUCUACAUAUAAUGCCCAGCUCAUUACCAUUUUGUUCAAGAAAUAUUCAGUUUAAUGGGAACGGGAACACAUACUGUCGGUCAAUUAUUGAUUACACACAUGAAAGAUCUAUAAAAUUCCACAAGGAAAAUAAAUGUGCAAAUUCAACUUGCACUUUUCAGAGAACUGCCCCAUUAAUCUGAUCUCUGACAAUUUAAAUAAAAUUAAUAUUACCGGUAUAUUCAAUAUAUAUUAAUAAUGUAAUUACAUGUUGUAAUAUGUUGUAAUACAUUACAAACAUAUUACAACAUGUUGUGGGAAUAUAAUUAGCUGAUUAAACAUUUUUUUUUGAUUCACUAGUAACAGUGCUGUUGAAGUGAGGAAAGCUAGGUGGCGGUAGAUCUCUUACCUCAAAUCCCGGCGAGACCACUGCUGUUGAAGUGAGGGAAGCUAGGUGGCGGUAGAUCCCGGCAAGACCAGUGCUGUUCGAGUGAGGGAAGCUAGGAACAUUUGUUACGAGCGAGCGGGGAAGAAGCACGGCGACGGACAGACGCAAUACCGGAACCCCAGGAGCCUCCUCUCUGCCGCGCGAUCAACUUUUCAUCACGGGACUCCGGCAUUUUGACUCAAGGUACCACACAUUCGCUCCAUAAGACGCACAUACAUUUCCCCUCACUUUUGAGGGGGAAAAAAGUGCGUCUUAUGGAGCGAAAAAUACGGUAUGUAUUUUAAUGUGUUUUGUUGGAGUUGUAAUUUGGAGAAAUUUUCUGUACCUGGAGAUUAUUGAGUUUACUACGGCUACUUAAGCCAAUUAUCUCCAGGAUAGAAGGGAGGGAUUUUAAUGUGUAAGUGGGAGUGUCAGACAUUGUUGUAUUGUUUUGAUUGGUUUGUGUCCUUUGUAUGCCAUUAUGUCCAGGGGGUGUGCCUCUGGCCUGAGGAAUUGUAUAAAUUGUGAGUGCUUGCUUCCAUUAAACAGACAUGCUUACCCCUUCAUGAAGUCUUGGCUCAUGUUUGGGGGAUUGGAGAACUACACUCUGGGGAUUGCUAUCAUCACUAUACUCCCCAGAGUAUAAUCAUUAGCUCUUGUAAGAGCUGUUCCUGAUCUCUGGAUUUAGGAGAGGUCUGCCUACUGGAAGCUGGAUCCUGGUCUUGGGUCCAGAGUGGGUGGAAGACGGCAAGACCCCAACCAAACUGCGGCAGUUCGUGGAGUCUGCGGUGGUUAUGGUGUCUGGUGGAGUGCUUGGAGCCCUCGGAAAGCACUAGGAGCAUCUGUCAACGGAAGGUACCCGGUCGGGGUGCCAGGUGUUCCGUUACAGUGUGAAACUACACAAGAGAAAUAACAGAGGAAGUAGAAAUUGGUGGAUAAGAUACUUGUGUUGAUAUAAGCUGGUAAAACUGGUGAGUGGAACAAGCAAACCGUGAGCCGGGCCGGAAGUGAGAGCAAUUGUAAUGCUCUUUAUUAAAGAGCAGUAUUUACAGUGACUUCGUGAAGGACUGGGGAGAGUCUGAUGGCAUGGGUCUAAAGAAUUCCAACGGAACGGGGCAGCCACUGAAAAACCCUGCAAAUGAGAAUGGAUAAAGCGGGAACGAGAAGAUGUCAGGAGAAGGUCACUUACAGAGCAAAGGGACAAGAAAACGUAUAUUUGUAAAAAUAAGUGUAGUGAGUAGUGGAGUUAGUGAGGGCUUUGUAGGUUAAUGUUAGAUGUUAGAAUUGGAUACUGAAGGGUACAGGAACCAAUGUAAUGAUUGUGGAAGGGGUGAGGGGUUGGAGUAGCGGUCAUUUAGGAAGAGAGGGACAAGGCAGGUAUUUGGAUGCCGAUGACUAGUAAGUUACAAUAUUCAAGUCGGGAAAUAAUGUGAAUGAAAAAGUGCAUGAGUUGUAUCUUCGUUAGAAAAGGCCGAAUGUGGGCAAUAUAUUGGAGGUGGCAGUUACAGGAUUGGAAUAGCCAUCCAGUGGAAGAAGCCUAACCCAAUGGUAACUGAAUGAUGUCUAUGAUGUGUAUAUGUAGUGCAGGAGAUCAGUAAAAUCAGUCGUUCACAAUGAGUAACACAAUUUCAAUGGGCUUUUGACAGUCACCUCAGUCUGAUUCUCCAAUAAAAGCACGGGAGAUGCUACAUCGAAAGGUUUCAGACAAAAUGGCACCCAGAAUGUGCACUGCCGUAAGCUGCCGAGGAAACUCUGAGAAGUUUACACCAUUAUUUCAUUCUGGAAGUAACUGCCGCAGCAGAGAUACCAGUUUCUAGAACCUGAAAUAAACAGAAUGUUUUCACAAAUACACGACAGUCUCUAACCAACAGAUAGAUUGGACGUAAUGCUAAAUUAUUCACUGUGUGUUCUUUAGGCGGAAUAAUGGUAAAUGGUGAAACAGGAAAACGCACGUAAUUUUGAUACUAUAACUUGACGCCUGCGUGUCAGACGCAGAUUUAAUUUAGAAAUAAUAAAAUAAUUCAUAUGGACAUGGCACAGACUAUCCUCUAUCACUGCAGGUAACGUUUAUACAUUAAUAUGAUAGAAAAUAGGGGGUUCAUGGCGUUUGGACGUGUUUCCAGCGAGCUCCUCAGGACAUGCUGAACAAAACCCAUCUAACUGCUGAUCCAAUAAUCUGUUACAAGCGUGCAUUUAUCCCUCUGCAAUAUGCCCCAACAGACCGGUCUGGGGAUACUUCCAGUGUAUACCAGACGCCAAACACUCGUGUGGCCUAGUGGGUGCUGGGGGAGGAGGCGGCCGGUCUUCCGACACCGCGCUGACAGGAUACUGAAACUGGUGAUGAUGCCCCGCUAUCUCCUAUUGGUCCAGCGGGGGUGUUCCUGGUUCCCACCCUAGCGGUUCCCAAAACCUAGCAGGGAUCCAUGGGCUUGUUCUACAUGCCGACGACACCGCCAGGGAUGCAUGUAACAUGGUGGAUGCCACAAGACACCUGGAAUCCCAUGAAGAGACAUCCACUCUUCACCACCGCCUGGAAACACUCUUCGAUGCUUUCUGGAAAAACUCUGAGGUUAAGUCGAUUUUACCUGCUCCUCUGCCCGGUGAGGCUCACUCCAUACUGAUCAGAUGCACCCAAAGCCAUCUGGCUACUACAAUCAAGGUCCCAGUGCACUGGAGAAGGUGGAGGCUGCAUUGGCGACGCAUCAUGAAAGCAGCUGUGAACACUGCGGUACGCCGACAAACCUGGCAGCAUUGCACCCUUAGCAUAAACAUGUGAAUCAUAAGAGGAGAGAUAGGGGGGAAGCAACUGCUGAACUGGAACCCGCAGCUGACUCCAUCGGCUCUGAGGCUGAAGGUUCAUGCCAUGUGGGACUAUGAAUUCCCUAUACUGGGGAUAGGUAUAUGUUUGAGCUGCAUGUUAUACUUCUUUCCACUGUUUAAUACAUGCUCCCUCUUGUUCUGUAACAGAUCUAAGCUGUUUCCUUUUAUCUACACUUCAUGUUUAUAAGCUGAAAACGCAUUUGCAAAAGUUCCUAUUUACUAAGAAUGUCUCCAAUAUGUCUCAGGGCAGUUUAGGUCAGUACACUAUGCUGCCUACUCCUACCAUGUCUCCUCUACAAAUGUCUGUCACAGCAGAUAGCAAUCGAACCUAGACGUGUGUAAUUAGCAUAUUAAUAUAAUAUUAAUUGUGCAGAAUUUUUGAAGCCACAUACUUGUUGAAUACUAUGUGUUGUGGUACAAG